GCCGAGGUAGCUCAGCUGGUUAGAGUGCCACGCUCAUAACGUGGAAGUCGUGGGUUCAAGUCCCACCCUCGGCA
rnacentral:tRNA from 1 species